CCUACGGGUGGCAGCAGUGGGGAAUAUUGCACAAUGGGGGAAACCCUGAUGCAGCGACGCCGCGUGAGCGAUGAAGUAUUUCGGUAUGUAAAGCUCUAUCAGCAGGGAAGAAGAUGACGGUACCUGACUAAGAAGCCCCGGCUAACUACGUCCCAGCAGCCGCGGUAAUACUUAGGGGGCAAGCGUUAUCCGGAUUUAAUGGGUGUAACGGGAGCGUAGACGGCGAUGCAAGCCAGAUGUGAAAGCCCGGGGCUCAACCCCGGGACUGCAUUUGGAACUGUGUGGCUGGAGUGUCGGAGAGGCAGGCGGAAUGCCUAGUGUAGCGGUGAAAUGCGGAGAGAUUAGGAGGAACACUAGUGGCGAAGGCGGCCUGCUGGACGAUGACUGACGUUGAGGCUCGAAAGCGUGGGGAGCAAACAGGAUUAGAUACCCCGGUAGUC
rnacentral:rRNA from 1 species